AGGCGUUCGUCACCGGGGGUCACUGACCCCUCCCAGGGGCGGCUGCUCAGAAAGCCUGGACUCUUUCCCGGCCGUGAGUGGGUCAAGUUUUCUUGUCCCAGGGGAGCCGAGAACCCCCUUCAGGUCAGCGGAGCAAACCCACCCCCAACACACGCUCUAUUCAGGGAGCCUGUUCUUGGAGCCUCAGCCCUCUCCCCUUCUAGUCACUCAUUCAUUCACUCGUUCAUUCAUUCAGCAAAUCUCUGUGGAACACAUCCCACGGUCAAGGACUGUUCUAUAUCCAGCAAGACAAGGCCCUGCUCACCCUGCCCUCCAGAGGUUAAGUGGGAGCAACCAGACAAUAACGGGCCUCUGAAAGCACAGAGGACCACCUACGGCCAGUCCCCCGAGGUGUGCAUGAAACUGCUGACUCCCGGACUGUGACCCAGCUCUUCUGAAUCCAAAGCCUGAAGACAGCCUUGGAAUCUGAAUAACCGCCUCCUCAGGUGACUCUGAGACCUCUUGCAGCUGCCUUCAGGGCAGACAAGCCUGGAUGCUCCUUUUGUCGUGAGACAGCGCAUUUCCUCUUUGUACCUUGACUAAGCCAAAGCUGGGAAAUCAGCAGGGAGGGAAGGUUCCGAGCUCGCGGGCCUGUAGGCGGCAAGCAUGGACAAGUGCAGCCCUUCCCUCUCCCUGAGCUGGAGGACGGCAGGGCCAAGGGAAGAGGAGGAGGAGGAUGCUCCUUCCCCCCGGCACUGAGCCCUCCCAGCUGUGCUGUGCUGGGAACAGGCCAGGCGUUUGUGAAAUCCUCGGGUGAGCCUGACCCACUGUCAUGAGGACUUGCCUGUGGAAGCUGGUGCCGGGAGGGGGAUGGGGGGCUGUUCCCAGAAGCGGGUAGAACUCUGGACUUCCCACUCCUGAGCGCUCUGAUUGCAGCACAGCCUUAAGCAACAGUAGCGGCCUGGAAGGCUGGGCUGCAGGCUGGAAGGCUGGGAUGCAGCCUGGAAGGAAGGCUGCGCUGCAGGCUGGAACACUGGGUUGUAGGCUUCAGGCUUUUUUUCAGAAAAGAAAUUAGGGUUCUGAAUGCUAAGACGUUGGGCUCUUCCAGUUAACACCAUCACUGCCGGUAUUCACAGCACUAUUCAGGCCCAGCCUCAGGAAGAGACUGCAAACCCAGAUAUAAAAAAUAAAAAUAAAUAAAAAACA